rnacentral:rRNA from 1 species
UACAGAGGGGGCAAGCGUUGUUCGGAAUUACUGGGCGUAAAGGGCGCGUAGGCGGCCUUCUAAGUCGAACGUGAAAUCCCCGGGCUCAACCCGGGAACUGCGUCCGAUACUGGAAGGCUUGAAUCCGGGAGAGGGAUGCGGAAUUCCAGGUGUAGCGGUGAAAUGCGUAGAUAUCUGGAGGAACACCGGUGGCGAAGGCGGCAUCCUGGACCGGCACUGACGCUGAUGAGCGAAGGCCAGGGGAGCAAACGGG